rnacentral:rRNA from 1 species
GGGUUGUGAGGUUAAGCGACUAAGCGUACACGGUGGAUGCCCUGGCAGUCAGAGGCGAUGAAGGGCGUGCUAAUCUGCGAUAAGCGCCGGUAAGGUGAUAUGAACCGUUAUAACCGGCGAUACCCGAAUGGGGAAACCCAGUGUGAUUCGUCACACUAUCAUUAACUGAAUCCAUAGGUUAAUGAGGCGAACCGGGGGAACUGAAACAUCUAAGUACCCCGAGGAAAAGAAAUCAACCGAGAUUCCCCCAGUAGCGGCGAGCGAACGGGGAGGAGCCCAGAGCCUGAAUCAGCAUGUGUGUUAGUGGAAGCGUCUGGAAAGGCGCGCGAUACAGGGUGACAGCCCCGUACACAAAAGCGCAUGUGCUGUGAGCUCGAUGAGUAGGGCGGGACACGUGGUAUCCUGUCUGAAUAUGGGGGGACCAUCCUCCAAGGCUAAAUACUCCUGACUGACCGAUAGUGAACCAGUACCGUGAGGGAAAGGCGAAAAGAACCCCGGCGAGGGGAGUGAAAAAGAACCUGAAACCGUGUACGUACAAGCAGUGGGAGCACAGGUUUACCUGUGUGACUGCGUACCUUUUGUAUAAUGGGUCAGCGACUUAUAUUCUGUAGCAAGGUUAACCGAAUAGGGGAGCCGCAGGGAAACCGAGUCUUAAUUGGGCGUUAAGUUGCAGGGUAUAGACCCGAAACCCGGUGAUCUAGCCAUGGGCAGGUUGAAGGUUGGGUAACACUAACUGGAGGACCGAACCGACUAAUGUUGAAAAAUUAGCGGAUGACCUGUGGCUGGGGGUGAAAGGCCAAUCAAACCGGGAGAUAGCUGGUUCUCCCCGAAAGCUAUUUAGGUAGCGCCUCGUGAAUUCAUCUCCGGGGGUAGAGCACUGUUUCGGCUAGGGGGCCAUCCCGGCUUACCAACCCGAUGCAAACUGCGAAUACCGGAGAAUGUUAUCACGGGAGACACACGGCGGGUGCUAACGUCCGUCGUGAAGAGGGAAACAACCCAGACCGCCAGCUAAGGUCCCAAAGUCAUGGUUAAGUGGGAAACGAUGUGGGAAGGCCCAGACAGCCAGGAUGUUGGCUUAGAAGCAGCCAUCAUUUAAAGAAAGCGUAAUAGCUCACUGGUCGAGUCGGCCUGCGCGGAAGAUGUAACGGGGCUAAACCAUGCACCGAAGCUGCGGCAGCGACGCUGAUGCGUUGUUGGGUAGGGGAGCGUUCUGUAAGCCUGUGAAGGUGGCCUGUGAGGGUUGCUGGAGGUAUCAGAAGUGCGAAUGCUGACAUAAGUAACGAUAAAGCGGGUGAAAAGCCCGCUCGCCGGAAGACCAAGGGUUCCUGUCCAACGUUAAUCGGGGCAGGGUGAGUCGACCCCUAAGGCGAGGCCGAAAGGCGUAGUCGAUGGGAAACGGGUUAAUAUUCCCGUACUUGGUGUUACUGCGAAGGGGGGACGGAGAAGGCUAUGUUGGCCGGGCGACGGUUGUCCCGGUUUAAGCGUGUAGGUGUGUGUUCCAGGUAAAUCCGGUUCACUUUAACACUGAGGCGUGACGACGAGGCACUACGGUGCUGAAGCAACAAAUGCCCUGCUUCCAGGAAAAGCCUCUAAGCAUCAGGUAACAUCAAAUCGUACCCCAAACCGACACAGGUGGUCAGGUAGAGAAUACCAAGGCGCUUGAGAGAACUCGGGUGAAGGAACUAGGCAAAAUGGUGCCGUAACUUCGGGAGAAGGCACGCUGACACGUAGGUGAAGUGAUUUACUCAUGGAGCUGAAGUCAGUCGAAGAUACCAGCUGGCUGCAACUGUUUAUUAAAAACACAGCACUGUGCAAACACGAAAGUGGACGUAUACGGUGUGACGCCUGCCCGGUGCCGGAAGGUUAAUUGAUGGGGUCAGCGCAAGCGAAGCUCCUGAUCGAAGCCCCGGUAAACGGCGGCCGUAACUAUAACGGUCCUAAGGUAGCGAAAUUCCUUGUCGGGUAAGUUCCGACCUGCACGAAUGGCGUAAUGAUGGCCAGGCUGUCUCCACCCGAGACUCAGUGAAAUUGAACUCGCUGUGAAGAUGCAGUGUACCCGCGGCAAGACGGAAAGACCCCGUGAACCUUUACUAUAGCUUGACACUGAACAUUGAGCCUUGAUGUGUAGGAUAGGUGGGAGGCUUUGAAGUGUGGACGCCAGUCUGCAUGGAGCCGACCUUGAAAUACCACCCUUUAAUGUUUGAUGUUCUAACGUGGACCCGUUACCCGGGUUGCGGACAGUGUCUGGUGGGUAGUUUGACUGGGGCGGUCUCCUCCUAAAGAGUAACGGAGGAGCACGAAGGUUGGCUAAUCCUGGUCGGACAUCAGGAGGUUAGUGCAAUGGCAUAAGCCAGCUUGACUGCGAGCGUGACGGCGCGAGCAGGUGCGAAAGCAGGUCAUAGUGAUCCGGUGGUUCUGAAUGGAAGGGCCAUCGCUCAACGGAUAAAAGGUACUCCGGGGAUAACAGGCUGAUACCGCCCAAGAGUUCAUAUCGACGGCGGUGUUUGGCACCUCGAUGUCGGCUCAUCACAUCCUGGGGCUGAAGUAGGUCCCAAGGGUAUGGCUGUUCGCCAUUUAAAGUGGUACGCGAGCUGGGUUUAGAACGUCGUGAGACAGUUCGGUCCCUAUCUGCCGUGGGCGCUGGAGAACUGAGGGGGGCUGCUCCUAGUACGAGAGGACCGGAGUGGACGCAUCACUGGUGUUCGGGUUGUCAUGCCAAUGGCACUGCCCGGUAGCUAAAUGCGGAAGAGAUAAGUGCUGAAAGCAUCUAAGCACGAAACUUGCCCCGAGAUGAGUUCUCCCUGAGACUUAGAGUCUCCUGAAGGAACGUUGAAGACGACGACGUUGAUAGGCCGGGUGUGUAAGCGCAGCGAUGCGUUGAGCUAACCGGUACUAAUGAACCGUGAGGCUUAACCUUACAACGCCGAAG